rnacentral:rRNA from 1 species
GACGAACGCUGGCGGCGUGCUUAACACAUGCAAGUCGAACGAUGAAGCCUUCGGGUGGAUUAGUGGCGAACGGGUGAGUAACACGUGGGCAAUCUGCCCUGUACUUUGGGAUAAGCCUUGGAGACGGGGUCUAAUACCGGAUAUCACUUCUGACCGCAUGGUUGGUUGUUGAAAGUUCUGGCGGUACAGGAUGAGCCCGCGGCCUAUCAGCUUGUUGGUGGGGUAAUGGCCUACCAAGGCGACGACGGGUAGCCGGCCUGAGAGGGUGACCGGCCACACUGGGACUGAGACACGGCCCAGACUCCUACGGGAGGCAGCAGUGGGGAAUAUUGCACAAUGGGCGAAAGCCUGAUGCAGCGACGCCGCGUGAGGGAUGACGGCCU